AACGCGUGAGAAUCUGGCUCUAGGUCUGGGACAACCACUGGAAACGGUGGCUAAUACCGGAUGUGCCGAGAGGUGAAAGGUUAACUGCCUAGAGAUGAGCUCGCGUCUGAUUAGCUAGUUGGAAGUGUAAUGGACUCCCAAGGCGACGAUCAGUAGCUGGUCUGAGAGGACGAUCAGCCACACUGGGACUGAGACACGGCCCAGACUCCUACGGGAGGCAGCAGUGGGGAAUUUUCCGCAAUGGGCGAAAGCCUGACGGAGCAAUACCGCGUGAGGGAGGAAGGCUCUUGGGUCGUAAACCUCUUUUCUCAGGGAAGAACAAAAUGACGGUACCUGAGGAAUAAGCAUCGGCUAACUCCGUGCCAGCAGCCGCGGUAAUACGGAGGAUGCAAGCGUUAUCCGGAAUGAUUGGGCGUAAAGCGUCCGCAGGUGGCUAUGUAAGUCUGCUGUUAAAGAGUCUAGCUCAACUAGAUAAGAGCAGUGGAAACUACAAGGCUAGAGUACGUUCGGGGCAGAGGGAAUUCCUGGUGUAGCGGUGAAAUGCGUAGAGAUCAGGAAGAACACCGGUGGCGAAGGCGCUCUGCUAGGCCGUAACUGACACUGAGGGACGAAAGCUAGGGGAGCGAAUGGGAUU
rnacentral:rRNA from 1 species